AUGCCACAUGUCAUCCAUCAGGAUGGGUCUCACCUGCUAAUCCGUGAGACCUGGUCUCAUACAAUUUUUUCCCCCCGCCGCCGCCGCCGCUCCAAUCCAAUCCCGAUUCGAUUCGAUUCCGGCCGCCGCCCACCCUCUACUCUCCUCUCCGGAACGCAGGCGGCGAUGCGCGGCGGGCGCUCGGGGGGAGGGGGCGGCGGGGGGCUGCGGAACCCGUGCCUGACGAUGCACCAGCCGUGGGCGUCGCUGCUGGUGCACGGCAUCAAGCGCGUGGAGGGCCGGUCCUGGCCGUCGCCGGUGACCGGCCGCCUCUGGAUCCACGCCGCCUCCAAGGUGCCCGACCCCGACACCGUGGCCGCCAUGGAGGCCUUCUACCGGGAGAUCUACGCCGUCGACGGCGUCCACCACAUCGACUUCCCCCAGCACUACCCCGUCUCCCGCCUCCUCGGGUGCGUCGAGGUGGUCGGCUGCGUCAGGUCCGAGGAGCUCGUCUGCUGGGAGGACGUGCCUCAAUCAGUCAGGCUUGAGGGCUUGACUGACUUCUGCUGGCUUUGCGAGAAUCCACAGAAGUUGGUGGUUCCGUUCGAGAUGCGCGGUUACCAGGGCGUGUACAAUUUGGAAAGAAGGGUCUAUGAGGGAGCCGCCAGGGGUCUUUCGCAUGUUCAAGGUCCACUGCCGGUCAAGUUCCCGCUUCCAGAUCCCAGAAACCCAUUAUCUCUCAAGCCAGGGUCUCUUAAUUUCGACUCUUCAAAGUCCGCCCUGGUCAAAACUGAGAGUGUUUCUGCAGCGAUAGCUGGGGCUAGAGCUGCCGCGACUCAGUAUUCGAGGAAGGGCACUAGUGCUGCCACUAGCAGCGAGAUUCAAACUCGAGGGAAAUCAAGGGAAAAUCAUGCCGAUGGCAGUUCAGGGAGUGGUGCUCUGCCGUCUUUUGUCCAGAACAGCCCAUCCCAUCCGCAAAACCAGGAUAGAUCGCCUGUUGUCCAGAACGGUUCACCCCAUCUGCAAAACCAGGAUCCAUCCCCUGUUGUCCAGAACAGUUCAUCCCAUUCGGUAAACCAGAAUACAUUCCCUGUUGUCCAGAACAGUCCAUCCUACGCACAAACUCGGAAUUCUCAGUAUAUGGUUCAGAGCAGUCCAUCCUACUCGCAAACUCACAAUCCUCAGCAUAUGGUUCAGAGCAGUCCAUCCUACGCGCAAACUCGGAAUUCUCAGCAUAUGGUUCAGAGCAGUCCAUCCUAUUCGCAAACUCAGAAUCCUCCGUAUAUGGUGCAGAGCAGUCCAUAUUCGCAGAACACUCCAUCCUAUUUGCAGAACCAGAGUCGAUCGUCCAAUAUCCAGAGCACUCCAUUCUAUUUCCAUGACCAAUAUCAAUCGUCCAAUGUUCACAACAGUCCAUCCUACUUCCAUUAUCAGAACCAAUCCCCCACUGUCCAAAACAGUCCAUCCUAUUCUCAUGACCAGAAUCCACCAUCCAAUGUCCAGAACUACCCAUCCCAUCUGCAAAACCAUAACCCAUCUCCCGUUGCCCACAACAGUCCAUCAUUUUUGCAACACCAGAACGCCGAGCCUCGGAGAAGUCCCAGACUACAGGGUGGAGCUCCCCACAGGCUCGUCGCAGCGGCGUUGAGAGACCUGAAGCAAUCAAGCUUGCGCGAGAGCGGGGAGCAGUCGUCAGCUCCCAGAAGCUGA
rnacentral:rRNA from 1 species